CACAGAGUUAGCCGGUGCUUAUUCUGCGAGUAACGUCCACUAUCCUAAAGUAUUAAUCUAGGUAGCCUCCUCCUCGCUUAAAGUGCUUUACAACCAAAAGGCCUUCUUCACACACGCGGCAUGGCUGGAUCAGGGUUCCCCCCAUUGUCCAAUAUUCCCACUGCUGCCUCCCGUAGGAGUCUGGGCCGUGUCUCAGUCCCAGUGUGGCGGAUCAUCCUCUCAGACCCGCUACAGAUCGUCGCCUUGGUAGGCCUUUACCCUACCAACUAGCUAAUCCGACUUAGGCUCAUCUAUUAGCGCAAGGCCCGAAGGUCCCCUGCUUUCUCCCGUAGGACGUAUGCGGUAUUAGCGCUCCUUUCGGAACGUUGUCCCCCACUAAUAGGCAGAUUCCUAAGCAUUACUCACCCGUCCGCCGCUGAAUCCAGUAGCAAGCUACUUUCAUCCGCUCGACUUGCAUGUGUUAAGCCUGCCGCCAGCGUUCAAUCUGAGCCAGGAUCAAACU
rnacentral:rRNA from 1 species